rnacentral:lncRNA from 1 species
AUGAUUAGUCUUAGCCUAUGCCUCUUUAUAUAAAAAUAAAAAUAUAUAUUGACUAGCCAUAUCAACCUGGAUUCAACCUGGCUCAUGUUGGUCACUUGUCACCCAUAUGAGAGGUCACGUAUGGAUAUUUUCGUUCAAAUCACUCAGCAAUAUUAAAUCCUCUUACUUGAGGUGUGAAAAGAACCUCCAUUCGAUCCUCUAAUUGAUCUAAACAAAGAUCAAUCUUGAGAGAAAAUUCAAAAUCUGAAAAUAAUGCUGCAUGUGCAUUGCAAAGAAGCAGAAGGUUUUUACAAAAAACCUAAACAAAAAAGACCACUGGACAGUAAGAUGUCGAUUUCAAAAUUAAAAAGAAUUUCUUCUACAUGAUUUGAAAUAUUUAUAUUUCUCUUGUACAUCAUGUAUCCUCAAAAAGUUAGGCUAAAACUGCAUGGUUAUAAUUAUAAUUAUGAUACACAUAUAUGAGACGCGCAAAAUGAUAUAUAGCCUAAAUAUUCUCCUCCAUUAUCCGACCUUCCAUAAUCACUACCCAAGUCGAUGCAUACAUUACAAGAUUAACUCAAAAGUGAUGCUUUUGUGAAACUUUUCUUUCUUCAAAUUAGGCUAUUGGUGAGAAGAUUUCUUCCUUCAAAGUUGAGCUAUUAUCCAAAUCCAUUUCUCCUAUUUUUGCUACUUUUAUUGCUAGCAGCAGUUAAAAUUGACCUGACCAAAAAUCUGCCUUCAGCUAUGCUUGAAUUUUUCAGCACGACUCAGAUUCAGGUCAAAUUGUUUGAACUGGACUUUAAAUAGAUCAGGAAUGGUCAGCACUUAGAACUGAAUUGGUUGUCAAGAGUAAAGUUUAUUUGGGAAAAUUAGUAGCAAACUUGACUUGGCCCAACAUAUUGUCAUCCCCAUAUACAAAUACAUUAUCAAUUUCCAAAUAGAAGUGCAAAUCCGGCCAGGUUUAAUUUAAUUUUCCCAAUAUAAAAUAGGUGGAAAAUGUAAAUAAGAAUUGACUAAGAUAUUAGAUAGAAAUUUAUGCAAUUCCUGUACAAUAAUUGGGAGAAAAUCAUUGCAAGCUAGGAGGGUGCCGCUUAUGCAAUUAGAAAAUUCUUUGAAAGCUUAGACUAGCCAAUAUAACAUCCCUUACAUAAGUGGGCCCUAUAUGGCCAAUAAAUAGAUUAAAAAAUUAUUAUUUGAAUUAUUUAUACAAAAAAUAAUUAAAAAAUUGGUAGAAUUUUAGUAUAAGAUUACUUCCAACUAAAUACAGUAACUUUUUUGGUUACCAUUUUUCAGAGUAAUUUUUCACCAACCAAAUGCGGUAAACUUUAUUUUCUCUAGCAUUCAUUUUCUCAGAUAAAUGCCUCCCACAAACCAUCAAAUUUCCAAGAAUCAUCAUAUUACCCUUAAUCUAGCAUACCUCAACCAAACAAACCCUCAAAGUUUUGAGAAGAUUCAACCCUUUUGAUCUUAAAAAUGUGGUAAAACGAUACCAUUUUCCUGAUACCCACCCAUUAAAUAAUUAAAAAACAUGUGUAAAAUGUUAAGAAGUCAAAUUCGUUCAAUGUUACAUUGAAUUGCAACAUAAAAUUUUAUCAAAGGGAGAACAUAAAAGUAUGUUCUUUUUGGUUGAGCGGUUAAUGAGCCAAAAAAUGUGCUAGAAUGCGACACGAAGGCACAUGCAGGCAUAAAGUACUCGAUCGUAAUAAUCGUACUGAUGUUUCAAAAAAAGAGUCCGGCAACACAAAACGUUGUCAUCCAAAAUAGUAUACUUUCUUGCACAUUUGAUGCACCUUAAUUGUUUUUUUGGCAAGCCAUGCACCUAAAUUUUUCAGUAAUUAAGACACAAGACGCUUGUUAUAGAGGAACCAAGUUGCAUUGAGACUCUAAUAAAAGCAAGAUCACGCCUUACCAACCAAAACAGGUGAAGCCACAAAUGAAGAGUCCAGCCACAAUAGACUUUUCUACUUAACAAACAAUAAAGAUAUGCAUUAUUUUCUUUGGCAUUUAAAACCUUGUAAUCUCCCCCACAGUAGUAGUUCUUGAUAUGGUUAUUACGCCGAUCACAUAGCAAACUUAUAUUUGAUGGGCAACUUUUGGAAAAACAAAAUAACAGACAUUUUAAUCACUAAACAUAGUGUAUUUGAGUGACCCAAUCAAGACAAUCAGGUGAUAAUUAUCCAAUAAUUAUCCAAAUGUAUAUGAUGGCUUUUAACUGAGACAUUGUUUUGGAGAGUGUUAAUUAAGUGCGAGUUUAUUAUUCUAGUGUGAUGGAUUCUUUUGUAAGAAAAUAUAAAUAUAUAAAUAAAUCUAUCUCAUCCUAUAAGCUUAAGUUUUUAGGACAAGUGGUGAUUUCAACAUGGUAUCAAGGCCAACAUAUGAGGAGUGUAAGAAAAUAUAAAUAUAUAAAUAAAUCUAUCUCAUUCUAUCAGCUUAAGCUUAUAGGAUAAGUAGUGAUUUCAACAUCUUUCACAAAAUCAAAAUAUUAAAAAAAAGACACUGAUCUAUUCUAAAGCUAAAGCCAUGAUAAUAAGAAAUGGUAAACAUGUUAAGUCAUCUAAAUAGUAUAUAAAAUUAUAGUACAAAGUGCCCGAGAAAUGCUUGAGAGAGCCAUAAUUUUCUAAUUAAUGAAUAUUUAACAGCAG